GCAUUGGUGGUUCAGUGGUAGAAUUCUCGCCUGCCACGCGGAGGCCCGGUCAUUCCCGGCCAAUGCA
rnacentral:tRNA from 1 species